rnacentral:tRNA from 1 species
GGACCAUUAGCUCAACGGUCAGAGCUCCCGGCUCAUAACCGGUCGGUUCUAGGUUCGAAUCCUAGAUGGUCCACCA